GGCUCUGCUGCCGCCGCGGCGGCCGCUGCUGCUGGUGCUGGUGCCGCCGCCGCCGCCUGGAUAUAGUGCGGCAGGGAGCGGAGCUUGCAGUCACUUUGCAAGGAGGAGCGCGCGGGCUGCGGGCGGCUGGGGCACCCCCGGAGCGGCGGCGGCUCUAGCAGAGGCGGCCGUGACAGCGGAAGGUUCUCUCUCCGGGGCUGGACUUAAUAACUUUGGAACUGUCCACCGGUGUCACGUUCUGAACAUGAGCCUCCUCCUCUCCUUCUACCUGCUCGGGUUGCUUGUCAGUAGCGGGCAAGAAACUGUCAACAACAUCCUGUGAAAUUGAGUGGAUAGAUGAAAUGGGGCAAAAGGGAGAAAAUGUGAGUAAUUAUGUAGUGAGCAACUACAGACUGAAUGGAGAAGUAGAACAAUAUAUUUUGAUCUAAAAUGUAGUGGUGAUAAAUAUGGUCAAGUUGUGCAUUAAGAAGCAAUUGUUGUUGCUGUUGUUCAGUUGCUCAGUUAUAUAUGACUCUUUGCAACCCCACGAACUGCAGACUUCCCUGUCCUUCACCAUCUCCUAGAGUGUACUCAAAUAAAUGUCUACUGAGUCAGUGAUGCCAUCCAAACAUCUCAUCCUCUGUCCUCCCCUUCUCCCACCUUCCAUCUCUCCCAGCAUCAGGGUCUUUUCUAAUGAGUUGGCUCUUCGCAUCAGGUGACCAAAGUAUUGGAGCU
rnacentral:lncRNA from 1 species